UACGAAGGGGGCUAGCGUUGCUCGGAAUCACUGGGCGUAGAGGGUGCGUAGGCGGGUCUUUAAGUCAGGGGUGAAAUUCUGGAGCUCAACUCCAGAACUGCCUUUGAUACUGAAGAUCUUGAGUUCGGGAGAGGUGAGUGGAACUGCGAGUGUAGAGGUGAAAUUCGUAGAUAUUCGCAAGAACACCAGUGGCGAAGGCGGCUCACUGGCCCGAUACUGACGCUGAGGUGCGAAAGCGUGGGGAGCAAACAGG
rnacentral:rRNA from 1 species